rnacentral:rRNA from 1 species
GUCGACGAUGAAUCUUCUAGCUUGCUAGAAGUGGAUUAGUGGCGCACGGGUGAGUAAUGCAUAGGUUAUGUGCCCUUUAGUCUGGGAUAGCCACUGGAAACGGUGAUUAAUACUGGAUACUCCCUACGGGGGAAAGUUUUUCGCUAAAGGAUCAGCCUAUGUCCUAUCAGCUUGUUGGUGAGGUAAUGGCUCACCAAGGCUAUGACGGGUAUCCGGCCUGAGAGGGUGAUCGGACACACUGGAACUGAGACACGGUCCAGACUCCUACGGGAGGCAGCAGUAGGGAAUAUUGCUCAAUGGGGGAAACCCUGAAGCAGCAACGCCGCGUGGAGGAUGAAGGUUUUAGGAUUGUAAACUCCUUUUGUUAGAGAAGAUUAUGACGGUAUCUAACGAAUAAGCACCGGCUAACUCCGUGCCAGCAGCCGCGGUAAUACGGAGGGUGCAAGCGUUACUCGGAAUCACUGGGCGUAAAGAGUGCGUAGGCGGGGUAAUAAGUCAGAUGUGAAAUCCUGUAGCUUAACUACAGAACUGCAUUUGAAACUGUUACUCUGGAGUGUGGGAGAGGUAGGUGGAAUUCUUGGUGUAGGGGUAAAAUCCGUAGAGAUCAAGAGGAAUACUCAUUGCGAAGGCGACCUGCUGGAACAUUACUGACGCUGAUGCACGAAAGCGUGGGGAGCAAACAGGAUUAGAUACCCUGGUAGUCCACGCCCUAAACGAUGGAUGCUAGUUGUUGCCUUGCUUGUCAGGGCAGUAAUGCAGCUAACGCAUUAAGCAUCCCGCCUGGGGAGUACGGUCGCAAGAUUAAAACUCAAAGGAAUAGACGGGGACCCGCACAAGCGGUGGAGCAUGUGGUUUAAUUC